rnacentral:lncRNA from 10 species
GCGGCGGCAAGUGCACGGGGUACGCCCGUCCCGCUCCGCAGGGGCAGAGGGGGAGGGGAUGAAGCUGCCCGGCGCCAUUUUGCUUGUGGGCUGCCGCCCGCCGUUGCCUCUCCGCGGAGGCUCGAAGAUAGCAAACUGGAGGCGGUGAGGGGGACGGAAUCUCUGUCUUUCUGACAACAGAUGCAUUCAACAAUCCACCGAAGGUUUGAGGAAGUGUCGGUAUUCGGUGGGACUGGUUCUUUCCCCCUUUCCCCCAGUGGCCCUCAAGUCUGGAUAUAGGUGAGCUUGGGCAUGCCAGUAUUGGGUGCACGAACAAGGACAGCAGGGCUUGGGAACGAACUCCCUCCCGUCACCCUCCGAAAGCGAUACACCUUCUCCCCCUCCCAAACAACCCCAGUCCCGUCUCCCCGUUCCUCUCCCCCUCCUCCCCCAGCCCAGUCUGGCCUCCAGCGCUGGGUGAACCCGGUUGGGGUGUCACUCGACGCCCACUAGGGGCUGAGGAGGCUCCAGUGCGCAGGCUCCGGGCACCGGAUAAAAGCGGAGCUGGCGAGUCUAGUGCUGUCUCGAUGGAGGAGCAAGAAACGGAAGAGGUCGGGGGGAGAAGCAGCCGGAAAAAUGCAGCCACCGUCAACGCCGCCUCCCUGCCACCGUGCUUCGGGGUAAAAAGCUGCCGUUGCCGUCGGUGCAGUUGCCGUCGCUGCCUCCUAUACUUCUCUUGGCCUCGGGGAAGGAUUUCCCCACCGGUGGGACAAUGUGCGGGGAGGGGAGUGGGAAUUCCUUUAUAUGGCGGUGAUUAAACGAGGGAGGGACAGACAGUGAUCUCGAAGAAAAAAGGGGGAGACCAAAGAAUAAAAGAAGGGUUUCCCCACUAAAAUGACACGGCGAUUCCGGCUCUUGUUUUGGGGGUCUUUCCCCGAAAUGGUUUCCGUCUUCCCCUUGCCCCGCAGCGACCCAGAGCGCUGGGGGAAGCGGAGUGGGGAGAGGCAGAGGCGGUCUCGGCAGCCAAUCAGCGCCUGAUGUGUCCUGUCGGGCGCGUCGUGGUUGGCUGGCGAUGACCUCAUCCUGCAGCAGCGGGUGGGGCCAAAGCCGUAGGGGGAGGCUGUUGCAAAGGUAGAGAGGGAGAAGUGACGAUGGUGAUCGUUGCUGCCGCGGCCGAUAUGGAACCCAAGCAGUGGCGAAGGGAAUCGCAAGGCUCUUCCCUGACCAUUUUCUACUGUCCCUGCGCGAGGCUGAGUUAUGAACUUCGGUUUGGUUUCUUUCUGCAAUCCCUGCAGGGCCAUAAAUUCUUGGCCCUUAAGACUGGGUGGCCCAUAACAGACUCAGUGAUACCAUCAGUAACCACAAUUCACACUGGAGUCAAGUUAUCUGAUUCCCACACCAGUUGGAGAACUGGAGAUUCCUUAGAACUUUUAACUGUCAUGUUUUCAAAGUUGACAUGGAAAAUUUUACAUGAAGCUUAAAAAUACAACUAAUCUGUGGUGAUAGAGACGAGAAGAGUUAAGCUCUAAAAUUAGAAGAGCAGUUCGUUUUGAGGCAGCACUGAUUGGGAGGGAGCAUGGAGUAUAUAAUUACACAUUUCUAUGUAAUGUAAAAAUGUAUAGAUUUAAGAUUUAUGCAUUUUAUGUAAAUUUUACUACAAUAAAACGAAAAUGAAAGAAGACAGAUCAUAGUUUAAUCAAAUAUUGUGUACAAAGUAAUUUCUGUUAAACAUUUAUAUUUUUAUGUGUAUAUGUAUCUUUUACAUGUAUGUGUUAAGGAUAUGCAUUAAAAUGGUAAUAACUUCCUCUGCCUGUUGGGAUAAUGGAGAGUUUUGUUACUUUUUGUCUUUUUUUAAAACAUGUUCUUCAAUAAUAAUGUAUUGCUUUUGUAAUUAUGAAAAACAAAAGUUAUUUUGUAAAUCUUUGUUACUGAUAAGAGAUGGGUAUUCUGUUAACUACUCAAUUCUCAUGUAGGAAAACAAAAUAAAUAAUGUCUAUUUGAUAAAUCGAGAAACAGAAGCAUUACUUAGAAAUCUGAGUUACCUCUAAAAUAAUGACUGGCAUUUGAAGUUGAGGAUGGGUCUUGAGUUCCUGUGAUUUUAAGCUCUUGGAUAUGAGGGUUGGGUGAGUUCCUCUUUUUCUCUUUUAAAAUAUAUGUAUGUUUAACUUUGCUAAAUAAAAUUUAAAAGAUGCAAUGUAUCUCAGUGCAAUUUUUAAAAAUUUAUUUUCAUCCAGGUUACUCUACCCUUUCCCUUUGUCAUUCAGCAGGCAGAACAAGGAAAAAUUAAACUUCUAACUGAAAGGAACUUUGAAUAGCAAUCAAUAUCAAAUUAGAGACAAAAUAUAAAUAUUGCUCAAUAUAAAAUGAGGGUUUUUCUUAAUUGAGGGGACAGAAAUACAGCUUCUCAGUUAUCAUAAAUUGCAUCUUUUUUGGGGAGGGCCUUUUUGGCUUGCAUCCAUUACCAAUUAUAUAUCUUUCACUACUGUGGGAACUGCAUUAUGGAAACAGCUAAAGCUUGUGUAUUUAGCGCCCUCUAGUGCAUUAUCUUAUAACUGAUAAUACUCCAAACAGCUAGAAAAAAUGUAAAUCUCAGUCCACCUCCCCUCUUUGCACCUACAUGUUUCCUAGCCAUGAGACAUUAGGCUGUGACCUCACAGUAGUUCUUUAAUCUCUAGGCUUCAAUUUUCUCAUUUGUAAAAUGAGGACGAUAAUAAAUACUAGAUAGGGUCCUGAGAACUAACUGAAUGGUCUAUGCUUGUGACAUGAAUGCCUGGCACAUAGUAGAAGCUCGAUUAGUGCUAGCUACUCUAACAUAUAAAUAGAUCGAGUCAGUACUAACAUGAUUAAAGACAAGUAAUCUUGACUCAGAUGUCAGAAUCUGCUAGUAGGAAAGUGGAAAAUGUUAAAGAGGAACCAAAAAAUAAAGAAUGAAGGCCUGGGUUUGAUACUCAUCUUUGGUUCCCUUUUGAGUCAAUUGAUGCCAAUUCUGAAGUCUGGGAACAUGUUAAAUUCCUUUGCAUCCUUCACAGUGCAUAUAAUUGCACACUGUCAACAAAUAUUUGUGUUAAUAUUCAAGCUAAAUGGUUAGCAAACAAGAUGAAGAAUGACAGAAAAUAAUAAUUAGUAUAAAAAUUUGUAUUUGGAUUCAACUUUCUGUUAUUUGAGGCAGAAGCCAAAUGCCAUUUUUUGGAUUGUAGCUUCGGAACAGGCUGUGGACAAGAUUUGUGUUACCCGUGUGCAAAUGAGCAGCAUAAUUAUACUGUGUGUUUCAUAUGUUCGCUAUGUGACUUUUGUGACUCAUUACUGACAACGACAAUAGUAGGUUCUAGAAUCCUGCCGUCAUCCAUUCUCACCCAUUUUCAGCAUUGCAUAGGCUAUACAGCUAAAAUUUACUUCCUCAGACACAUUCCAAGAGAUACCUUCUCUCCACAUAGUCUACAUGACCAUCUAUAGUUCUUUUCCUGCACUGACAGACAUAGACUUUGGUACUUAAUACCAGUACUUCUUGGGCUCUCCAAGAACCCAGUUGCUUGAGGAAAGCAUUGGGUGCUUCUCACCCUGAGUCCCUGGAAUCUUUGGUUGGGCCUGUAUAUAAUAAAUGUCCCCAUUGCUUAUUUUUCUUGUGUGCUUUAUAUUAGACAUGUCACAGUGUUGUCUCUCCUUCCCUUCCAUUGCCUCAGUGCUAAACCAGACCAAUUUUCUCAUGAAAGGUACAUGAUACAGGUAACCAUGCAUUGUGCCUCUAUUAAUGCUUAUACAUUAUGCUAAGCAUUUUACAUCCACUACUUCUUUCACAACCACAUCCAGUAAUAGAGUAUUCCCAUUUUCCAGAGGGGAGAAUUGCCCUAGUUCACACAGAUAAAUGGCAGAGCCAGACUUCCAACCCAAGUCUGCCUCUAGAAUCUGUGGAUUCAACACUGCAUCAGAAACUCCAAAGGGAAAAUUUUGAGUUGUCUGUCUCCAGAAAUUCCUGCAAGGAAAAUCAUGAAGCUCCCUUUAGGCACUAAGCCAUAAGUUCUGAGGCUUCAUCCUUUUCAAGAAAACCCACCUACCUAGCCCUGAUAAUUAUUAGAACUGCGAUGACUCACAUUUACUUGGCACCUCACAGUUUUCAAAGGUUGGCCCAUGGGGUAUCUCAUUUUAUUUUCCAGAAAAUCUUUUGCGUUCAUCAUCAACUGAGUGUCCAAGCUGGUGAAGCAAGUUCUUUUCUGGCAGAAGAUUGCAGCUCCUAUUAUUUACCCCCCAGGGGAUAAACUGCAAAUCCCAGGCCUUACAGCUGGGAACACAGAGCUAGCUGUGCAAGCAUAUAAAAAACCUUGACAAAGCAGGAGGGGGGUUCACAUACUGGCUAUCCUCAUUACAGUGCAUUGGGCAAGGAGCUCUCCCACUGGAAGCUGUAUCACAGAACCACAGGCACUGCCUUGGCGGGCAAAACCACAUUCAGCAGUUCUUCAAUCAGCCAGGGCCUUCCCUGCCCGUGUGCUCAUUCAUUUAUGCUACGCAUGUGGUCUCUUAUAAUUGCUUUUCCUCUCCUUAACUCUCUUUUCAUACCCCAGCCCCUACCCCCAACUCCCUCUUGUCCUUAAAAGCUUCUUCCUGCUUUACACCUUAACCUCUUUGUAGGAUCCCAGUAAAUGCCAAGGCUUGUGGGGGUGGAAGAUUAUAAAUCAAAGCCACAGACACAGACAUGGGGGAGGAGCCACCCAGGGGGUGGAAGGGCCACAACUUCAAAACAAAUGAGCCUCUUUCAUCCCAGUGGGAUUUUUGUUUUUUAAGGUCUGCAGUUCCGGUGGGGCAUUAAAUCAGAAGCUAUGGUUUCUGGGAUUUAUAGGAAGAACAACAACUAGAGAGUUGUCCAUAUGUGUUCCCUGAGUUUCAGCAAAACUUGGGGGCCUAGAGAAGUCCUGUUAUUUUUAAAAAAGUGUCGUUUCUCCGUUAACAAAAUAGGUUUCACAUUUUAAAAGCAGCUUAAAGCAUAGCAUCAACCAUUCUUCCUCCACAAUUGAGAAGUUCCAUUAAAUGAUAGAAGGGGUCAGAUUUGAGAUAUCUGACUAAAUAUUAUUUAAGAAAAGUUAAAUUUUGUCAGUUCUCAAUUAUCUGUGCUAGUGGAGGGGAUCCAGGGACAGAAUUCCACUGGGACUUUAAUUCACUUGUUGAUUUGCAUUUGGCAUUAUGAGGCAUUUUAGUAAUGAACACUUUAAUAUGGGUGUGCCUGCAGUUCUGGAAAUUUACAACUGUUUAUAGCAAAUAACAAAGCUACUCAGUGAAGAUGCUGACAGGGCUGGAAUGCUGUCAAAUGACUUUUCCAGCCUCUGGACCAACUCUGUUUACUGAGGCCUGGAAACAAAAUAGGCUUUGGCUUCAGACAGGAACGUUUAAAUCCUUAGACUCACAUUAUCAAGUAGUUUAGGAAAAAAAAAAAAAUCCUGAUGCUGCUGUGUAAUUUUUCAGAUUCUUCAUUUGAAAAAUGGGAAAAAGAAGUAAUAUCACGUACCUUGACCAUGGUAUCAGAGAAUGACCUCAGAAGUUGUGAGGGAAUUCUCAGACAAAACUUUGAAAUAUAAUCCAGGAUUCAAUCAG